rnacentral:tmRNA from 1 species
AUUCUGCAGGGCGACACCUUAAACUGGAACUAAGCAUGUAGAAACUAGAGGGGAGUAUUUUCGGACGCGGGUUCGACUCCCGCCGCCUCCACCA